UAAAAAACCUGAAGCAAGAGACGGAAGGGGACUCGUAAAAGAUCAGGUUCCUGCAGUUCUCGUCGUCUCACUUAAUUCUCAUGGAAAUUCUCUGAGGUCUUGGACUCCACCGAAUUACAUUCCAGCUUGCAAAUGGCAGAUCGUGGGACUUCUCGACCUCCAUCAUUGUAUGAGCCAAUUCCUAUGAUAAAGCUUCUCUCAUAUAUAUCUAUAGAUACCCUCCUGGUUCUGUUUCUCUGGAGAAACCUGACUAAUACAGGAGAAGCAUAUAAAUGAAAUCUUCUUAAAAAGGAACUUGGAAGGCAGACGUAAGCUUCCUAAGUACCACCGAGAGCUUCCAGCUAGCGUCUUCCGAAUUGCCCUACUGCCCGCAGUUCAUUCUCCAGCUCAGGAGCUCUCCUCCCUUACACACUCUGGCAGCCCUCCUCCACGUGAGAUAUCUUGUUCCAGAACAAGAGACACCUAAGAAAAAUAAAUUUACGUGUUGUGAAAACGGACACACAUCCUUCAAGACUCACGAAAGCUGCCUCCCAGCCUUCCACGCCAUCACGUUGCCUGUGUGCUCUCCCGGUGCGUAGAUCACGGUGUCUGCGGGAAGAUGAUUCUUUUCAGCCUGAAGCUCUUUUGCCCAUGUGUAGGGCAUUGAAUGUUGGUUUCUCUGGGUUAAAUCACAGAGAGGAAGGCCUGCUGGGAGGACACCGUGCAGAGCUGCAGUGACGUCCUCCACCGCCCUGCGUGACUCCACCUGUGACACGGCGCCAGCCUAGGGAGUCUCCCCUGAAUUACCUUCAAGAAAAUGCUGGGUUCAGGCCUCCUCUCCCUUCCCGUACUCUCAAAACCUGAGCCCUAAUUUUAAUUUUCUCUGAUGAACCUGAAAAGAUGCCCACUUUUGAUUCCUGAAAGGUUGUCCACAAGGAGUAAAAUAAUUCGAUUUAACGGACGAAGAAGGACUUCUGGAAUCCACUUGCCCGCAUUUAGAAUGUCCCAUACCAGGGAAGAUCAAGGUACUCCCGUUUGGUUACAUAUGUGCCGACGAGGUAAUCGUGGUUUAAGGCAAACCUUCGGUUAUGAGCUAAUCGGUUCAGCUCGCUGACUAUUGGCCUGUUAUGGCAGGACAAGACUAAUUAAGUGCCACUUAAAGGUAUGGGAAGAACGUUAGGCAGAAAUUGAUGUGCCUCCAGAAGGCUCCAAAUGGCCGACGUUUAAUGGUCCUCUGUACGUUGCCAUGGCAACUCACUUUGGUACCUCACAUAUCCUCAGUGUAAGAAAACAAGGGGCAGAGUGUUCUUAGGAAGGUGCAACCCCCUUUAAGCAGAUCUAGAAGCAUCGCAGAUGAACAGAACUUGAAACAUUCCUCCAUGAAUAUUCAUGAAGUAAGUUGUUUUUUGUUGCCUGCCUAGUCAGCAGUCACAAAACACAUGGUGUGUGUUGGCAGCAUCUUGCCUAGGUAGAGGGCUAUGGACUGAGGCAAUGGCAGCAACCAGGACCUGUGAGGCUGACUGACAUUUCCAUCUGUAGCGAAGGCUGGUAAUUAACAGGAAGGAGUAUGCCUGCAGCAUUGCACCAUCUGCUAGGGAAACGGCUCAAUAAGAAAGGAGCUGGAUAGCAUCUCAGCGGUGGCGCGAUCUGGUUCCGACAUGAGGCCGGGCAUCUGUUAGCUGAGGAGACGGACUAUUAGGGAAUUCGACUGGGAAUGAACAACAUGGAAAGAGCACUCUGACCUAGCCCAUAAAAGCAACUCUUUAGAAAUGGUGUCUUUUUAUCUUACUUACCCAAGCCUUCUGAAAAUGGUUUGCCGAGGGACCAUUACAGAUCUGUUUGAAGGAACACAAUGGCUUCAAAAAAUGCUGUUUUAUUCCGACAUGAAAUUCUUGAAAUCAGGAUACAGCUGUCAUCUUUUGACAAUAGAGCUAAUUUCAGAGCGAGGAUAUGAGGUUAAAUUCCUCCUUUUGUCGUUUAGAUUGGGGAGCAGUGGGGGUGGGGAAACAAAAUGAUCAUUUCAAUGCUAUGCCAUUCAAAAUCAAGGAGACAAAAAAAAACAAAAAAAAACAAAAAAACACAACCCUAGGAUGCCCUGGCAGAAAGUGAGCAGAUCAGAAAUCACCCCCAAGUUCUUGUAAUGUCUUCAUGUUCUGUUUUGUUUUAGUCGUACUGUUUUCUAAUGCAAAUCUUUCUUGUCAUGAAAAACCACACUUUGGGACUUGGGGCAUCGACCAUACUUUACUAGUCUCAGGACCUUCGUUGGAGAGAAUGUUGGUGGUUUAGGUACCAAAUCUAGAAAUGGGAGUCCAGUUCAUGAGAGGGUUAGUAUGUACUUGGGGCAAGACGAAUGGGCAGAACAUCUCUAUCAACCACCCCCCCCCCCCCCACCUCACCCUCAUAUUCUUAGGAGAUAGAUAAACUUCUUCCACAGGGGAACCCAUCUUUGAGAGGGGUCAGCAGACAGAAACCUUGAUCUCCCCAUCAUUCUAUAGGUUAAUGCAACUUUUAAGAAUAUGUAUUAGUCUUUCAACCACUGGGGAGAAACUGUUGACCUAAACCAUCUCAGUGAGGUUGGAGCUUAGAAUCUAUUACCACCGUUCCCUUGACUGGGACUCCUGACUCAUGUACAGAGUCCCCCAGAUGGCAGAUGACUUUGUGUGUGUGUGUGUGUGUGUGUGUGUGUGUUAAAGUUACUAAAUCAGAGCCAUUGAAUGAUAUUUACUGAGACCUCAUGGUACCAUAUGGAAUCAAAAAAUAUAUAGACCUUGGAAUUUAAAUUCAUCUGAGAAAGGUGGACGCAGGAUUCAUGUUUAGAAUAUUUUGUUCUCUCUCCCUCUCCUGUGAAUGCUGAUUAUUUGGCUGAUCUACGGGAACGCUGAUGUCUGAAAGGGGUAGUGUGAGACAAAUAGAAAAAUCUCAUCUUUCCUAAAUAUGAGAAAAAUAAAAAUUACAUUCACUGUGAAAAAUCACACAAGGUUUGUCCAGUUGUGUGCCAGUAUAGGUUUAAUAACUGUCUGUCUGGGGAGGGAGUAAAGACGCCCUGAUUUGUAGCUUUCGCCAAAUUCCAUGGUGUAAAUACCCCUACUGUGGCUGAUUUCAAAUUAGCCACGUUGAGAUUUGCAAAUAGAUUCAGAUAAACUUUUGGAAGCCAGUGGGGAUGCGUUCCGACACACCACUGAUUCUAUCCCUGCAUCCUCCUAUAGAAAGGAUUGGUAACACCAGUUUGGGUUAUGCUGGUGAAGGUGGUCUUUUUGAUUCAAUACAGUCACUCGUCACACACCAAAAGCAUAGUUAACUCAUAUCUGUGUAGCAUAUUAUAGCCUAUAAAAUCCAUUCAUAGUCCUCAGUUCACUCAAUCUGUUUAGGCAGAAACUGAGGCUGACUGGCAUGCCAUAGGCUUAUUGUUUAGUAAGCAGGAGAUAUGAACUAAGUAUCUAAAUGUUAAUAGAAGAAUUUAUUUCUGAAUAGAUACCUACUGAUCUGGGACAUGGAACUGACCAGCCACCAUAUCAGUACAUUUCUUUGUUUCUCCAUUUCUGUUUUGUGCUGUAUUACUUUGCUGCAUUUUGGCCUCCACCUCCCCCUGUUACCUCGUCUCAACGACAGUAUUUGAAAUUGCCUUCGAAUAUGUGUAGCAGUGUCAUGCCAUGCGUUGGGCAUUUGUCACCCACCGUAGCUGCUCAGAAUGUGGCUGUCACUUCUGCCUCCCUUGUUCAGCCCGUCAGGCUUGGGUUGUAUUGAAACCCAUCACUUAAGAAACCUGGAUCUCAGGCUAUGUUCUGGGAGCUCAUUCAGUAUUACUCAUGGACUAUCAGGAGAAGGAAGGAUAGUCCAGGCAGAAGGAUCCAAAUGCUCAUGUCUGGAAGGACCCUAGUGGAUCCUUGGAAAGAUAAACUACCCAUCUUCAAGCUGUCUUUCUCAAUAUGUGGAGGACAGUUGGUGAGUUUCUACCUUGAUCUAUUCUGAAACUAGUAAAAACAGAGAAAAUGGCACAAGGGCUCAGAGACAUCACCGCAGUGUCGCCUUUGGAAAACCGACCCUCUUGGGGAAUGUGAGGGUCUCAUCCUUUGCAUCUUCUGGCGCUGUUCUUUUCCCCAGGCCAUCAGUCUUUGGGGAGAACUGGCUUCUUCUCGGUGCCCACACAGUGCCUAGUGGGCAGUAGCUCUGUGGUUUCUCUUCACCAAAUUAUAUUUAAUGCAUGUCAGGGAUUUUUUUUUCUUUAUUGACA